rnacentral:misc_RNA from 1 species
GAUGAAGAACGCAGCGAAAUGCGAUACGUAAUGUGAAUUGCAGAUUUCAGUGAAUCAUCGAAUCUUUGAACGCACAUUGCGCCCGCCAGUAUUCUGGCGGGCAUGCCUGUUCGAGCGUCAUCUCAACCAUCAAGCGCCUCGCUUGUGUUGGGGCCCUGCGGCUGCCGCAGGCCCCUAAAUCCAGUGGCGGGCUCGUCGUCGUACCGAGUGCAGUAAACAUCCUCGCUCAGGGAACCCGACGGGUGCCGGCCGUGAAACCCCCCCUCCUCAAGGUUGACCUCGGAUCAGGUAGGAAUACCCGCUGAACUUAAGCAUAUCAAAAGCGGAGGA